AAAAAUUCCCCCAAAAUCCUUCUCUAGGUUUCCAAAUUUGUGAAAUUCAAACAUUUAAAAAACCCCAAUAACAAUAGAAAUCAUCAAAAGAUAAAAUAAAACUCCAGAAAUACUGUUCCAUUACAUUGUUCAUCCCAGUUUGAGUUUCUGAGUUGAGAUUGCGCAAAUUAGAGAUUCAAUAGCUUUGCUCCUUCAUUUCAAGUUGUUUGGAAGUUCUUUGGAGUUUAUUUUGGUCAACUAUUGAUGUGGUUGGGUCUAUUUCACAAGUUCCCUUUGGUUUUCAAGUCAAAAUUGAUCUCUAAAUUUUUUCUGGGUUAAAAUUGUGUCUGGAUGCUGCCCUGUUACUGCUAAUGAUUCCUAUCUGUCUGCUACUGUGAUUUAAUACAAGGUACAUGCUCAAAAUUACAUUGAUGUAUCCACAACUUGGAGCGAAUGCAAUGGAAUUGAUUGUUCUGUGUUCAUUUGUGGAUGCAUAUAGCCGUAUUGUUCAAUUAAAAAGAAUGUAUAUGUGACUCGUUGAAUUCGACUUGUAUUUAGGACUAUUAGUGUAAUGAACUGUAUAAGUAGUACUAUUCAAGUUUGUGAAAAUUGAUACAUGAUUUAAUU
rnacentral:lncRNA from 1 species